rnacentral:rRNA from 1 species
CCUACGGGAGGCAGCAGUGAGGAAUAUUGGUCAAUGGUCGUAAGCCUGAACCAGCCAAGUCGCGUGAGGGAUGAAGGUUCUAUGGAUCGUAAACCUCUUUUAUACGGGAAUAAAGUGCGGGACGUGUCCUGUUUUGUAUGUACCUUAUGAAUAAGGAUCGGCUAAUUCCGUGCCAGCAGCCGCGGUAAUACGGAGGAUCCGAGCGUUAUCCGGAUUUAUUGGGUUUAAAGGGUGCGUAGGCGGCCUGUUAAGCAUGCGGUGAAAGUCUGUGGCUCAACCAUGGAAUUGCGGUGGAAACUGGGUGGCUUGAGUAUGUUUAAGGCAGGCGGAAUGCGUGGUGUAGCGGUGAAAUGCUUAGAUAUCACGCAGAACCCCGAUUGCGAAGGCAGCCUGCGAAGCCAUGACUGACGCUGAUGCACGAAGGCGUGGGGAUCGAACAGGAUUAGAUACCCCAGUAGUC